UAUUUGACUGGGAAAGACAACUUGAUCCGAAAUUUCUCUCAAACUUUCUUCCUGGCUCCGCAAGACCGAGGGUACUUUGUUUUGAAUGAUAUGUUUCGAUAUGUGGAGAUUGCCAAUCAACAAGAUGCUGUACAAGUUCCAGAAACUGAUGUGUUGGCUCCUGUUACUCCAGAGCAAAUUGUUGUAGAUCCCUCUCCAGCUCAGGAGAAUCACAUUUCUGAUCAGAGCACACCAUCUGCUGAGGAAGCUAAUGGGGGAGAAGUUUACAAUCCUCCCCAGAAUGAUAAUGUGCCUGAUAUGGUAGAGGAAGUGCCAGUGGCUGAGGUUGUUGAUGAAGUGCAAGGUGACUCGACAAUGGUAGCUGAAACUAACAUCAUAAUUGAAGAAGUUCCAAAGAAGUCUUAUGCUUCAAUUGUCAUGCAUCUAAAGGAAAGUGCUGCAACUUUCUCCCCUCCUCCAGCGCCUGCUCCUAGGAAGAUCGUACCUAAGAAUGUUGAGCAUGUUAGACAACUUCUUGCACCAGCACCAGCUGAUAGCCCUGCUUUAAGCUCUGACUUUGUUGAUAAUGUGAACAACCAAGAGGGAGAAGCUGAUGGUCACUCCAUCUACAUCAAAGGUCUACCUAUGAGUGCCACCACCGCCAUGCUAGAAGACGAGUUCAAGAAGUUUGGACCUAUAAAGAAUGGAGGCAUUCAA
rnacentral:misc_RNA from 1 species